AUCCACGGCCAUACCACCCUGAAUGUGCCUGAUCCCGUCUGGUGCUGGCUGCUAAGCAGGGUCGGGCCUGGUUAGUACUUGGAUGGGAGACCACUUAGGAAGACCAGGUGCUGUAGGCU
rnacentral:rRNA from 1 species